GCAGAUGCACUGCUGAUCGGUACGACAGUAAAUCUCCAGCAGUUUGUCAUGAUGAGAGCAGAUCUUCUCCUGCAGGUUUCCAGUGGCUUUGACCAGUUUGUGCUUCUUUAACGCAGGAAAUUCAUAGUGAGGCUGGAGGUGAGUUUCACAGUAAGAGGCCAGACACACCAGACAGGACUUGACAGCUUUGCGCUUUCUCCCAGUGCAGACAUCACACGCCACG